rnacentral:rRNA from 1 species
UCCUUCGGGACUUAGUGGCGGACGGGUGAGUAACGCGUGAGAAUCUGCCUUCAGGAUGGGGAUAACAGUUGGAAACAGCUGCUAAAACCCAAUGUGCCGAGAGGUGAAAUAUUAAUAGCCUGAAGAUGAGCUCGCGUCUGAUUAGCUAGUUGGUGGGGUAAGAGCGUACCAAGGCGACGAUCAGUAGCUGGUCUGAGAGGAUGAUCAGCCACACUGGGACUGAGACACGGCCCAGACUCCUACGGGAGGCAGCAGUGGGGAAUUUUCCGCAAUGGGCGCAAGCCUGACGGAGCAAGACCGCGUGCGGGACGAAGGCCUGUGGGUCGUAAACCGCUUUUGAUAGGGAAGAAUAACUGACGGUACCUAUCGAAUCAGCCUCGGCUAACUCCGUGCCAGCAGCCGCGGUAAUACGGAGGAGGCAAGCGUUAUCCGGAAUUAUUGGGCGUAAAGCGUCCGCAGGUGGUUAUGUAAGUCUGCUGUCAAAGCCCGGGGCUCAACCCUGGAGAGGCAGUGGAAACUACAAGACUAGAGUGUGGUAGGGGCAGAGGGAAUUCCCAGUGUAGCGGUGAAAUGCGUAGAUAUUGGGAAGAACACCGG